AGACUUCUAAGCCAAAGGAGAAGAUUCCGUACAUGUGCGUACAAAAAGGUUUGUCCUGGGGCCUGCCGUAGAUGGAGGCCACGUCACGUGGUUUACCGUGUUGGUGGGAUUAUUUAAUCAGAGAAUAUUGUUUAUGUGUGCAUUAUUUGUGGGAAAAGUGUUUACUUUGAUUUUCUUGUCACGUGAUUUGACAGAUUAUACAAAUUACAAAGUGACACUAACUUUCCCUUGGGGAUUAAAUUAUUGCGAAUUAUGAUUUUGCUUUUCUCGCCACAUGAUUUUGAUUUGGACUCAUCACGUUUGUCUUUUUUUUAAAAAAAAAUUUUUAAUUUUUAAUUCUUAAUUUUUUGCGAAAAUCACGUUAGUAGUGAAGAAGUAUCCCAGACUUUUUAGCUAUAAAGAAAAAACAAUUUAACUUGACCAAAAUACCCUAAUUCUGGAAUUCUCUAAGUUUGACUUAGCAUUAUAGGCUAAAAUAUAAGAAAAAUUAGUGUAUAUAAUAGACUAUAGUUUAGUGUUUGCCAAAAAAAGAGAGUAUAGUUUAGUGAUAAAAAAAAAUUAAUAAUUAAGAUAUCAUAAAUUAAGUAUUUUGCUUUUGAAUUUGGUGAAUGAGUUUUGAAUUUUGUUUUAUAAUAGGACAACAAUGUGGCCCAAAUUGAAUGGAGUAUUUAAAUUCAUAGGAGAAAAGACAGGUUUGCUCCUCUUAAUUUAAGAGGUUUUUCUCAAAAUAAAAUUAUUUGAGAGACCUCAAUAGAUAAGGACUGUAUAUAUAUAUUAGCCCCUUAGCAUAUGCUCACGCAUGUGCCAAUUGGUUCUUUAUUUUAUUUUAUAGAAUUAAAAAAGAUAAUAGGAAGUUGUGUUCCAUAAAAAUAGGACUCAUUACCUGAUUUUGUUUCUAUUUAAAAUAAAAUUAAUAUGAAAGAGUGUGAAUUUACCAUAUUAUCCUCAUUAAUAAUUUUAAUUGUUGAUGUUUGCAUUAACCAAUGACAUUUUAUGGUAUGAAAAUGUGAAAAAUAGAUGGUUUUGAUCAUUGAAUUUUUUUGUUUUUGUUUUUGUUUUUUUGUAGGUGACUCUAAAAGUUGUCCCUCAAAUUUAUUUAAGGAAACCUUCAAUAGAAGGAGACUGUAUAUGGGGUCUUUCUUCGUUACGGAGUCCACGAUGCGGAUUGGUUACGAAUAUCUAUUUUUUACCAUACGAUGAUACCAACUUUCAACGCUUCAUUUAUUCUUUUUUUCUUUCACCGAGUUCAAUCUUCUCUCUCUCUCUCUCUCUCUCUCUCUCUCUCUCUCUCUCUCUCUCUCUCUCUCUCUCCCUCUCCUCCUUUUUAAUUCUUUCUUCCGUUUUCUUUCCUUUCCUUCUCUCUUCUCUCUGUUUCCUGCGUUUAUCCCUUUAUCUCUCUGACAAAUCAUGUUAGUAGCCAUGUCAUGGAGUAAAUCAAUUUUGUUGGAUGAAAACAUUUGAAAGUUUCAAGGAAAAAAAAGCUGCAAAGUGAUUGUAAGGAGAAGUUACGGGAACCGAAAUUCCAAGAAGCAUCAUAGGAUUGAAUCAUCAGUAAUGGGUGUUAUAGAUUAUAGCAGAGAAAAUCAAGGAAAGAAAAAACUCCUUAUCUUUCUUUCUUUCAUUUUGUGAGUUCUAAUACAAAAUGCUCAUCU
rnacentral:lncRNA from 1 species